rnacentral:sRNA from 1 species
AAUUAGCCCUUGCUGAAAUGGCAUCCUUUUUCUUGGAAAGAAAAAGAUAGAAUGGAAGCAAGGAAAAUGG